rnacentral:tRNA from 1 species
AGGGGAGUAGCUCAAUUGGCAGAGCGUCGGUCUCCAAAGCCGAAGGUCGCGGGUUCGAUUCCCUCCUCCCCUG